CAGUAGCCGCGGUAAUACGGGGGGGGCAAGUGUUAUUCGGAAUGACUGGGCGUAAAGGGCACGUAGGCGGUGAAAAGGGUGGAAAGUGAUAGUCGCCAAAACACUGGCGGGGUGCUUUCUUGACCAUUUCACUUGAGUGAGAUAGGGGAGAGUGGAAUUUCGUGUGGAGGGAUCAAAUCCUAAGAUAUACGAAGGAACGCCAACCGCGAAGGCAGCUCUCUGGGUCCCCACUGACGCUGGGGUGCGAAAGCAUGGGGAGCAAACAGGAUCAGAUACCCCGGUAGUCCCUGUCUCUUAUACC
rnacentral:rRNA from 1 species